UACGGAGGGGGCUAGCGUUGUUCGGAAUUACUGGGCGUAAAGCGCACGUAGGCGGCUUUGUAAGUUAGAGGUGAAAGCCUGGGGCUCAACUCCAGAAUUGCCUUUAAGACUGCAUCGCUUGAACGUCGGAGAGGUGAGUGGAAUUCCGAGUGUAGAGGUGAAAUUCGUAGAUAUUCGGAAGAACACCAGUGGCGAAGGCGGCUCAUUGGACGACUGUUGACGCUGAGGUGCGAAAGCGUGGGGAGCAAACAGG
rnacentral:rRNA from 1 species